AUUCUUACAGUUUUUAUACAUUGUCAAAUUAGUGCCUCACCCAUUUUAAGAAAAUAUGAAAACACAAAAAGAAUAUCGUUGAUUCUGAUUUUAUUUUUCCCUGUGAUAGUAGGCAAUCACGUGAUUUCUAGUUGUAUUUCCUUUCGGUCUUUUUUUUAGAUUCAGUUUUCAUUCUGUAUGACAGAGCAACUUUUUUGUUCCUGUGUGUGCUUCCUCUUCCUCUUUGAACAUUCGCUUUCCUGUUUCUCUUUCUCUUUUGGCUGCGGUCCUGUGCUUCCUUUUGGGCACGGGACCCACACUCUUCUCCCGUCAGUUGGGCCUGUCUGGCUGCGAGCAUUGACCAGUGGCGUUGAUCAGGUAAUUUGUGACCCACCUGGCUUGACUCACAUUUUCCUUAACUCCUGGUCCGGUUAGGACCUAGAACUGCCACCCCAGAGGCUAUUUUCCGAAACAGCUUGCGGGGUUCUGAAAGCAGCUUCUGGUGGGAAACUUUAGGAAAUGUCCCAACAUCACAGAGAUGAAAUGGACCACAGCGGCAUAAGGGACCUUGGGCCGGCUUUACCCCUCACCCGAGUCUUCAGCGGGCUCGGGACUCCGGAGACACGCGGGGCGGGGCGGGGCGCGGGGCGGGGCGGGCUGAAUGGGGCGGGGCAGGGGCGGGGCAGGGCCGAGGGCGCCUUCCAGGCCCUUCCGUGCAGUCCGCCUCUGUUCGCAGACCCCGCGCGCUUCUCCGGUGAGUAGCUCGGGCCGCGCCCCGGGGCAGCCACCCGCUGGGUGGUGCCUGCGCUCAGCCGUCGUCUGUGCCCGGCGCCGGGCGGCGGGAGGGGCUCUGUCGCUUCCUUCCACGUGGGCCUCGCCGGCGGCACCGGCGGCCGCGCUCCUCCGGCAGGUGCGCGGGGCCCGGAGGUGGGGGAGGCCGAGGACCAGACACCCUCGCCGGGUCCCGGGCCGCUCCGCGAGGACACUCGGGGACUGCGCGACCGAAGGGAAGGGGCGGGGAGGGGCGGGACUCCAGCUGUCGCAGGCCUCGGGCCGCUGCACCUGCCGCGCCCUCGGAGUCGCCUGGACGUUUCUCUACGUGGCGGCGACCCGCCUCCGGGGGGGCUGGAAUCACGUGCUGGUACUCGAGGCCGAGAGAAAUCUUACUGAGUGGAUGACUGGCCCGAUGGGACUCAGGAAGCACCCUGAAACCCUCAUCCGCCGAGUGGCUAGGCCACCGACCCUCCGAACCCUCUGA
rnacentral:lncRNA from 1 species